rnacentral:rRNA from 1 species
UCUGGUAGCAAUACCGGGAGCCAUUCAGUGGCGAACGGGUGCGUAACACGUGGGCAAUCUGCCGAGAAGUGGGGGAUAGCUCGCCGAAAGGCGAAUUAAUACCGCAUGUGAUCAGGGAAGACAUCUUUCCGACAUUAAAGUUGGCGCAAGCUAACGCUUUUUGAGGAGCCCGCGGCCUAUCAGCUUGUUGGUGAGGUAAUGGCUCACCAAGGCGAUGACGGGUAGCUGGUCUGAGAGGACGACCAGUCACACUGGAACUGAGACACGGUCCAGACACCUACGGGUGGCAGCAGUCGAGAAUUUUUCUCAAUGGGGGAAACCCUGAAGGAGCGACGCCGCGUGGAGGAUGAAGGCUUUCGGGUUGUAAACUCCUGUCAUUUGAGAACAAUGGCUACGCGUUAACUGCGCGGAGCUUGAUAGUAUCAGAAGAGGAAGAGACGGCUAACUCUGUGCCAGCAGCCGCGGUAAUACAGAGGUCUCAAGCGUUGUUCGGAUUCAUUGGGCGUAAAGGGUGCGUAGGUGGCGCGGUAAGUCGGGUGUGAAAUUUCGGAGCUCAACUCCGAAACUGCAUUCGAUACUGCCGUGCUUGAGGACUGGAGAGGAGACUGGAAUUCUCGGUGUAGCA